UACGUAGGUGGCAAGCGUUGUCCGGAUUUAUUGGGUUUAAAGGGUGCGUAGGCGGCUUUGUAAGUCAGUGGUGAAAUAUGGCAGCUUAACUGUCAAGGUGCCAUUGAUACUGCAGAGCUUGAGUACAGAUGAGGUAGGCGGAAUUGACGGUGUAGCGGUGAAAUGCGCAGAUAUCGGGAAGAACACCCGUGGCGAAGGCGGCUCUCUGGGACGGUACUGACGCUGAGACGCGAAAGCGUGGGGAGCGAACAGG
rnacentral:rRNA from 1 species